AUGACUAAACCUAAAUGCAGAGGAGGGCUGGGUUUACGUGACUUCCGCCUUUUUAACCAAGCGUUGCUUGCGCGACAAGCUUGGCGCCUUUUAACAAAACCGAUGUCCCUAUGCGCGAAGGUUUUAAAAGCUAAAUAUUAUCCUAAUGGCUGCCUCGAGGAUACUAUUUUUGCAGGAAAUGCAUCUUCGACAUGGCAUUUUUGGUCAUGGACUAGACCUUCUCAAGAAGGGCUUGGUCUGGCGUAUUGGUAA
rnacentral:rRNA from 1 species